rnacentral:rRNA from 1 species
GUGCCAGCAGCCGCGGUAAGACGAACCGUGCGAACGUUAUUCGGAUUCACUGGGCUUAAAGGGCGCGUAGGCGGGCUGACAAGUCAGAGGUGAAAUCCCACGGCUCAACCGUGGAAGUGCCCCUGAUACUGACAGCCUCGAGGGAGGUAGGGGUGUACGGAACUUCCGGUGGAGCGGUGAAAUGCGUAGAUAUCGGAAGGAACGCCGGUGGCGAAAGCGGUACACUGGAUCUCUUCUGACGCUGAGGCGCGAAAGCCAGGGGAGCGAACGGGAUUAGAUACCCCUGUAGUCC